rnacentral:pre_miRNA from 1 species
AUGAUACUCCCUCCGUCCAAAAAUUCUUGUCUUAACUUUGUCUAGAAAUGGAUGUAUCUAAAUACUAAAUUUGACUAGAUACAUUCGUAUCUAAAUAAAUAUCACACGAGUAUUUUGGGACGGAGGGAGUACUUU